GUACCCGUAGCGCAGUGGCUAGCGCGCUGGACUUCUAAUCCAGAGAUCGUGGGUUCGAAUCCCGCCGGGGAUG